CGACGCUGGCGGCGUGCUUAACACAUGCAAGUCAAGGGGGCCCAGCAAUGGGCAACCGGCGAACGGGUGCGUAACACGUGAGCAACCUACCGAAAUGCGGGGGAUAGCCGGCCUAACGGCCGAGUAAUACCGCAUACGCUCUCUAUGAGGCAUUUCAUGGGGAGGAAACCUACGGGGUAUUUCGAGGGGCUCGCGGCCUAUCAGCUUGAUGGUGAGGUAACGGCUCACCAUGGCUAUGACGGGUAGCUGGUCUGAGAGGACGACCAGCCACACUGGGACUGAGACACGGCCCAGACACCUACGGGUGGCAGCAGUCGAGAAUUUUUCACAAUGGGGGAAACCCUGAUGGAGCGACGCCGCGUGGAGGAUGAAGGUUUUCGGAUUGUAAACUCCUGUCAUGAGAGAACAAAUCCCGCAAGGGCUUGAUAGUAUCUCAAGAGGAAGGGACGGCUAACUCUGUGCCAGCAGCCGCGGUAAU
rnacentral:rRNA from 1 species